GACCUCUGGUUUCUCUUCAUUACGCACAAGCCUUUCGCCUUUUACUAAAGACUUCCGUGGAGAGGAACACUUACGAGUUCAACAUAUUUUUGGAAGGGCUUUGCUUCUGGCAGAGCC
rnacentral:snRNA from 1 species